GUGAGUUAAGUAUAAACCCCUUUACAAGUAUCAAUUGGAGGGCAAGUCUGGUGCCAGCAGCCGCGGUAAUUCCAGCUCCAAUAGCGUAUAUUAAAGUUGUUGCAGUUAAAAAGCUCGUAGUUGGAUUUCUGUUAAUAAUUUGUAUAAUAUUUUAACGAUAUUAUAUAAUAUUAACAUAAUUCAUAUUACUAUAUAUUUAAUAUAUGAAAUUUUACUUUGAGAAAAUUAGAGUGCUUAAAGCAGGCAUUUGCCUUGAAUACUCCAGCAUGGAAUAAUAUAGAAGAUUUUUAUCUUUUUUAUUGGUUCUAAGAUAGAAAUAAUGAUUAAUAGGGACAGUUGGGGGCAUUUGUAUUUAACAGUCAGAGGUGAAAUUCUUAGAUUUGUUAAAGACAAACUAAUGCGAAAGCAUUUGCCAAGGAUGUUUUCAUUAAUCAAGAACGAAAGUUAGGGGAUCGAAGACGAUCAGAUACCGUCGUAGU
rnacentral:rRNA from 1 species